GCCGGGAUGGCGGAACUGGUAGACGCGGCGGACUCAAAAUCCGUUGGUGGUGACACCGUGUGGGUUCAAGUCCCUCUCCCGGCACCA
rnacentral:tRNA from 1 species